GUCGGAAUAAAAAGGCUCAGACAGGUUUACGUGUACACGGUCGAGACUCAGGGAGACUCGCACUGUGCAAUAAAAAGAAAGAGUCUUUAUUCAGAGAGUACAUACAGGAAGAGAGAAAAUAGAACUGCAGGCUUCCUGUGUAACUUCCCCAUUUAGGAGUCUGCACAGAGUUGCAGAGUUUAAGCUGAAUACUGAAAAGAGCAAACACAUUUAGAUAAUGAAACGUACUUUUAAGCAUAACAUAAUAAAAAUCCCAAAAUCCUAAGAAAUCUCUUAACAUUCCCUCCUGUUGUACAUAUGUAUAUGUACAGUUCAUAGCUUAUUGUAUCAGUCUAUGGCCACUUGUAAACAUUUCUAGCCAAGACAUCAUAAAACAGUGGGUUUCGUGAAUAUGUUAUAUCCAGUGUUGGGGAGUAACGGAAUACAUGUACCGCCGUUACGUAUUCAGAAUACAAAAUAUGAGUAACUGUAUUCCGUUACAGUUACCGUUUAAAAAGGUGGUAUUCAGAAUACAGUUACUUUGUUGAAAUAAAUGGAUUACACGGCGGUACUUCCCUGUUUCAUGUUGUCGCGGGUCAGGACUGUUUGGGUUUGUUUGACAGCUACGUUCUGUUGUUCCAGGCGGCAGCGUUACGGUUGCCAUGGUUACAGGGUGACUCUCUCUCUCUGCGUGUUUCCUGGGUGAGAGAGCGCUUUUUUGUUGUUGUUGUUGUGCUAAGCUAAUAGGCAGAAUGCUACAGGCAUAGCUCUAAAGCAUGUAGCCUGAUGGGCAGUGUAGUCCGUGCCGCAGGGAGAAUGGACUACCAUACCCGUUAUGUGUCUGUGAGCGAGGGAGGGAGAGAAAGGAAGUCCGAGCUGUCACGGAGCAAAAACGGGAGCUGGAAGCAUGUAAAUAUAAUAAUAACCACUGCAGCCAAGAAGAGUGCCUGACGAGCCCAGCUGUCAACCCAGAACCAUUCGUCACAUGUGCCGUUUCAUCCUAUCUGGAGAGGUUCCUCAUGGUUGACCACGAUUCCCUGGAAUUGAUGCCCACGGCUGGCGUAGCUUGCGGCACACUUUGUUUGAAUUAUGUCCAUUCCCUUCGCAUACAAGGUGGUGUACUGUGUCGCUGGGGGCAUAUAGGAGCAAACAUAGCAGUCCUUUCUGGGUGUGCUGUCAUGUAUAUAUCGAUACCAUGCGUUGUUCAUCUUCUUUCUUUCGGGUGAGUGUUAAGAAACUCACCAGGAGUGCAACAUUAGCCACUAGGAGGACGAGUGUCUUCAUGAUGACCAGACACACCUGUGACCUCUGAUGAGUAGACUACUGGCAAGAAGAAGAAGGCGGGUAUACCCGAUCAGCCCUCCCUCCACCAAUAGAUCACCAUACA
ensembl:lncRNA